UCUGGUUAUUAAGUACGUAUACAUAUAAAGUGUGCUCUAUUGCUUAACUAAAUUCUGGACUUCAGGUAUACUACCUGACAAUGCACCCCGUGUUGAUAAAAAUAAUAUUGGGAUGCACCACAUACUGAUUCACAAAGUUUAGGUCUGUUUCCUUGGAGAUUCACAAACAAGUGAUGUAGAAUUGGAAAAUAGUGAUGUAGAAUUGAUCCAAAUUUUAAACAGACCUGCCCCUGAAUUUUAAACAGACCUGCACCUGGGUUUUUAACUGCUUUUUCUGUAUCUUAUUCUUUUACAGGAAUGCAUCAAUAAUCUUGGUAUAAAAUUUAUUUGGAUGGUUCAGAACCUUCAGAUGGCAUGGCUGAGAUAUAGUUUGUUGUAUUCAGUUUUUUUUUUCAUCGUCACAGGUUUGCAAAUUUUGGUUCUACUGCCAGUGCAUACUUUAUGUUUCCAUUUCCAUCAAUUCAUCUUGUAGAAUCUCUGUGACCCUCGACGUUGGUUUGGAAGUUCGGUUCAGUCAUAGCCUAAUUUUUGGGUCUUCGCAAAAAAAACGCCUAAUUUUUGGGAUUUAGUAAUUGUGGCCUGUUGUUAGUAUGCGAGUGUACAUACAAACGAUUAGCACUAUAUUUAUUUUGAUUUAUUUGUUGUGAUUAAGAGCAGAAGCUCUACUCAUCUAGGACGAGGUCUAUGACAAGGAAAGUUAAUGUAAAAAAUCAAAAUUGUGUGUGUUUGUGUGGUUAAUACUCACUUCAUUUUGAUAUAUUUGUCUUCUAAUAACCCACCGUGCACAGGACAGACCAUGCAAGCAUCAACUUAUCGAGAAAUGACUUAUUAACCUAUUAAAAGACCAUACCGGAACCACCAAUGGCAUAACCUUUUCAAAACAUUUAAGUAGGGGUGGGCAAUAGAAGCGUUGUAGUAACUGCUCGCUUGUUGAACGGACAAACAUUUUGACGAUGACUCUUGCUUUCAUGGAUAUACAGAGAUAAAUGGAUGGAUGUUGCAAAUACAGUAGAAAUCAUGGGUGCAACAAUUUUUAUGUCCAUGUUUUUCUUUUUGUCUGAUUGUGUAUGUAUACUGGUUACAGGGCACUAUUUGCGUAGAAUUUACUUGACCUGUAGGAACUGGCUCUACUAUCUAGCUUUUAAAUGUAAUAAAUCUAGAAGGCAAUGGAGCAUUAUUGUCUUUCCCUCUUUCUACAUAAGCAAGAAAGCUGUGACUUGGAUUCUGGACAUGAAUCUUCUUAACCUGUUGAAGCAGAAAACUAUAGAUGCAGAGUCCAAUUAGUUGUCCUUUGUGCAUACACAAGAAAGUGGAAUUUGGAGUCUGAACAUGAAUCCUUGAGACUGAUGGCCAGAAACAGAACACAACAUGAUGACCUUGAGUGAGACCCUUCUUCACAUGUGACUGCUCUCUUUUGGAAUACCAGCCAUGCGUGACAUGUUUAGUAGAACAGAUUGUGUCAUACGUCUGGUAGUUGUUGUUGCCUAUACAGAGUGUGAUGAUCUGAGGGUGUGAACUAUUUUUUGUGCAAAUUACUUGUUAUAUAAACUAUAUGGAUGGAGUUACGGGACAUUAAGAAAAGAUAUGAGAAAGAAUAUAGAGUGUGAAAUUUGCUAUAUAAAUUACUUGUUAUAUAAAAGUUGAAUCUCACGAUCCAACUUUUUAGAACUAUGCCACAACUUUUAUGAGGCCAUAAGUUUUUCUUUUGAAAUCUGCAGGUUAUAUGAUUUGUACAUGGCGGUGUUACUGAACAGAAGGAGGUAAUUUCUUCGCUCUUUCUAUUGAUUAAUAUUGUUCUUCACUCUUUCUAAACUAUUGAAUUUAUUAAUAUUAUUCUUGCACAAAUUAAUUAAUGAUUAUAUCAUCUUUUGGUCACUCGAGUAAGAUAGAACAUGAUGAUCCUCUCUUAAUUUGGUUUCUCCUCCGCUGAAGAAUAUAGGAAUCACCAGCAGCCCUUCUCGUGAGCACCAUGUCUAUGAACUCAUCUCCAUGCUUACUAUCCUUCUAUAAACUGGGGGUAUCCAUGUGUUGCUAAUAAGGCAUUUUCCAUUCUUUGUUUUUCAAUUCUGUAUCAGUAGUUCCGAGGAAGUGCUCAACCUAGACGUUGUUGGCCGAAGGAGGGGCGGAGCAGGUGCCAGUCAAGUAGGCGGCUCAAUGGGUGGGAGAUGGCAGCUGCCGAUCUCACACGGCUCAUGCGCCCCGCGACCCUCCCCUCCCCGGCUAAGUAGGAGGUUCGAGGGCAGCGACUAAGGAAGGAGCACAUCGGCGAUGAGGGCUAGCAAUAGCAAGACAAUUGCCAGGUGCAAUCGAUAUGCCGCCACGUCGGCCCUUCACGCGCGCCCGCCAGGGUUGGGACCUUUUUCAGAGCAAUGCGUAGUGUUUCCUUUAUUGUUGUUGUUUGUGAUGUCCUUGAUAUUCCUUUGCCAUAUGAUUUUUGAUCAUUUUCUCGCUCAUUCCUAGAGGAGCGCUAUGGAUAAUAUGAUUGAGAUGACUAAGAUACAUGCUUUUUGUUUACUUGGCAUCUACUUCUCUUAAUUUUUCUACAACCCUUCCUUUACAUGCUGGUAUGUUUUGUUGCCAGGCUCAGAUCGGCGAGACCCGUGCCAAUGCACGAGGUACAAUAUUGGUUAAUUUUCCAUCUCCAAUCAGAUUAAUGGUUUGCAUGCAGACCAAGCCCAGUGUUUUAUGGUGUUCUUAUUCCUGACUUAGUUGUACAUUUGACUUUUAGUUUCUUCAUAGAUAAUAAAGUAGUGGCAGAUGAACCAGUAAGUUAUCUGUGCCCAUUCUUUGCUAUAAGCAUUAAAUUUGCUCUCUGCUUUUACUUUCAAUGUGUUAUCCGUACCCCUGUUUUUUGUGGCUAAUUAUUAUGUCCUAUCAACAUAUGCAGAGUCCAUGGUAUCAUACGAUUUGAAGUUGAAAAAAUCAUGCUAUGGGUGAUACGGAAAAGUCAUUGCCUUCUUUGCUGGAACAUUUCCUAAGAUGAUCUAAGGUAAUUAUUUUAGUCACCAUGUCAUUUAUAUGCUAAAUUCAGUGCGUUGACAACUAGAGAUCGCUUCCUUUUUUUGUGUAUUGAUCAUUUCAGUACGAUUGUUUGAUACACUACCGACAUCAUUUUGCUUUCUUCUUGCUUGUUAUUUCAUUUAUUUCCUCCAGCAAGUGGAUGGCUAUUUCCACUACUUCAAGUUUUGUUUUGGCUCUAAUUGUGUGUAUGGCAUCUUGGCCUUCUUAGGUGAAGCAUUUAUGAAUAUCCUCGCUGAUCUAUGGAUCUAUCAUUGUAAGAGUCGAUAAUAUAUGGUGAGCUGCCUCACACCAUCAUUUGGUCUUCGUAGCAUUUGAGUUGGCAAAUUUGUUGGAUUCAUGCGAUUAUGCAUGGUAAGUGCUCAGAGACCUCAUAGCUCUAUAAAUUUUGCUUCCAAAAGUUAUGAAUAUUUUCUGUGCUUGGUCCUCUCAUUGGUGAGAGUAGCCAUGUAAAUCAAUCUGCAAUGGGAAAUGGGAGUUUGCAAACUACCGGAGUCUAUAACUGAGGGUCAUGUGCGGAGCUGGAGGAAGAAGUUGCGAGGCUUGGAACCCUCCUUGUGAAGGGCUCAGGGACAACAGUGAGGACAAUGCCUCUUUAGUUGUAAUUGUG
rnacentral:lncRNA from 1 species